ACUUUCAAAAGUCCGUGAACUCACCAAGGUUCGACUCGAGCGCCAGCGAGAGAGCGUUGCCGCAGGCACGACCCGAAGGGCGAAGCGCGCAGCGCUGAGUAAUCCUUCCCCCACCACCA
rnacentral:sRNA from 1 species